AGCGGCGGACGGGUGAGUAACACGUGGGCAAUCUGCCCGAUACUCUGGGAUAACGCUUGGAAACGAGUGCUAAUACCGGAUGGUCUUCUUGGCCGCAUGGCCGAGAAGGAAAAGACGCGUUCGCGUCGGUGUCGGAUGAGCCCGCGGCGCAUUAGCUAGUUGGUGAGGUAACGGCCCACCAAGGCGACGAUGCGUAGCCGACCUGAGAGGGUGACCGGCCACACUGGGACUGAGACACGGCCCAGACUCC
rnacentral:rRNA from 1 species